rnacentral:ncRNA from 1 species
GAGAGCAUAGUACGAUGAAAGUUAUAAGCUGUGUUCGGGGGGAAUUAUUGUCUAUCAUUGGCCUCUAUGGUAGAAUCAUUCUGGGGACCUGAGAGACGGUGGUUUACCCUGU